ensembl:lncRNA
GCUCACAGAGCAACAGAUGUGGCCCACACCCAUUCGAGGGAAAGAGAAAAAAACACAUUACGCAUGGGUCUCCAACUUAACACCACUGUCAACUUAACAGCAAAGCAGUUGCACAAAUUCAUCCAGGAAAGGGAGUGAACGGAAAACGUAUUGUUUGACUUGGAAUGGCACUGACUGACAUCAUCAUGAAGGCAUCAACCACAGCAGGUCCGGCAAUAACCAUGACAUCGCCAGAAGCCUUCGAACAAGGAAUCAUUGAGGACGUCACCCGUCUGGUCACACAGAAUUUCACAGAACACUUCACACAACCCUUCAGAGCUGUGGGAGCCGCCCACGUAGAGGAUGGAUCCUUUGAAGCCAUUUUCGGAGGAGUCAUUUUUGCCCUGCUCCUGGCGCUGCUCCUGGCGUUGCUGGUACUGCGCUACAUUGUCAAGCAUAAGGGCACUUACCACACCAACGAGGCCGACUGUGGUGAUUCCGUCGACAAGUUUGGCGGUGACCCUCAAAGCGAGCAGGUUCAACUAGAGAUUUUGGACAAGGAAGAAUAGAAAGAAGUAUACUUCAUUUGAAACAGGAUCUUGUUCCAUUUCUAAACCAGGGCCAAUAUUUUCUAUGGAAUUGGAAAUGCCUAUGAUGGUCAUCUUAAUUUCAAGACAACAUUUAUAUGGGGCCUACAACCAUCUCAGCUCUGCAGAUUUUGCUAUGAAGUGACAAAACAAUUAGAUCACUUAUUUUUGUAUUGCCCAUAUCGUAUAUACACUAUAUAUUGCAAAAGUAUGAGGACACCCAUUCAAAUUAGUGGAUUGGCUAUUUCAGCCACAUUACAGUCUUAUUCUACAGCUUUAUUUCCCUCAUCAAGCUACACAAAAUCUCAUAAUGACAAAGCAAAAACAGUUAUUUAUCAAUUAUUGCAAAUGUAUAUUUUUUUUAAACUGAAAUAUAGAUAAGUAUUCAGAUCCUUUACUCAGUACUUUGUUGAAGCACCUUUGGCAGUGAUUACAGCCUUGAGUCUUCUUGGGUAAGACACUACAAGCUAGGCACACCUGUAUUUGGGGAGUUUAUCCCAUUCUUCUCUACAAAUCCUCUCAAGCUCUGUCAGGUUGGAUGGGGAGAGUUGCUGCACAGCUAUUUUCAGGUCUUGGGUUCAAGUUCGGGCUCUGGCUGGGCCACUCAAGGACGUUCAGAGACUUUUCCCAAAGCCACUCCUGCAUUGUUUUGACUGUGUGCUUGGGAUCGUUGUCCUGUUGGAAGUUGAACCUUCAAGCCAGUCUAAGGUCCUGAGUGCUCUAGAAAAGGUUGUCAUUAAUGAUCUCUCUGUACUUUGCUCAGUUCAACUUUACCACAAUCCUGACUAGUCUCCCAGACCCUGCCACUGAAAAAUAUCCCCACAACAUGAUGCAUCAUGCUUCACCGUAGGGAUGGUGCCAGGUUUACUCCAGACGUGACUCUUGGCAUUCAGGCCAAAGAGUUCAAUCUUGGUUUCAUCAGACCAGAGAAUCUUGGAGAAUCUCAUGGUCUGAGAGUCCUUUAGGGGCUUUUAUUGGGCACACUCCAAUCGAGCUGUCAUGUGCCUUUUACUGAGGAAGGGCUUCCGUCUGGCCACUCUACCAUAAAAGCCUGAUUUGUAGAGUGCUGCAGAGAUGAUUGUCCUUCUGGAAGGUUCUCCCAUCUCCACAGAGCAACUCUGGAGUGCUGUCAGAGUGACCAUCCGGUUCUUGGUCACCUCCCUGACCAAAGCCCUUCUCCCCCAAUUGUUCAGUUUAGCCGGGCGACUAGCUCUAGGAAGAGUCUUGUUGGUUCCAAACUUGUAUUCCAUUUAAGAAUGAUGGAGGCCACUGUGUUCUUUGGGACCUUCAUUGCUGCAGAAAUGUUUUGGUACCCUUUCCCAGAUCUGUGCCUCGACACAAUCCUGUCUCGGAACUCUAUGGACAAUUCCUUCGACCUCAUGGCUUGGUUUUUGCUCUGUUAUGCACUGUCAACUAUAGACAGGUGUGUGCCUUUCCAAAUCAUGUCCAAUCAAUUGAAUUUAUCACAGGUGGACUUCAACCAAGUUGUAGAAACAUAUCAAGGAUGAUCAGUGGAAACAGGAUGCACCUGAGCUCAAUUUCGAGUCUCAUAACAAAGGGUCUGAAUACCUAUGUAACAUUAGAGUGUCUAGUUUGAGAAACAAAUGACUCACAAGUCCUCAACUGGUAGCUUCAUUAAAUAGUACCAACAAAACACCAGCAAAACACCAGUCUCAACCUCGGUGAACCAGUGAACCAGUGAAGAGGCGAAUCCGUGAAGCUGGCCUUCUAGGCCGAGUUGCAAAGAAAAAGCCAUAUCUCAGACUGGCCAAUAAAAAUAAAAGAUUAAGAUGGGCAAAAGAACACAGACACUGGACAGAGAAACUCUGUCUAGAAGGCCAGCAUCCCAGAGUCGCCUCAUCACUGUUGAUGUUGCUCAGUUGUGCACUGGGGCCUCCCACUCCUCUUUCUAUUCUGGUUAGAGACAGUUUGCAGUGUUCUGUGAAGGGAGUAGUACACAGUGUUGUACGAGAUCUUUAGUGUCUUGGCAAUUUCUCGCAUGGAAUAGCCUUAAUUUCUUAGAACAUGAAUAGACUGACGAGUUUCAGAAGAAAGUUAUUUUUUUCCGGACAUUUUGAGCCUGAACCCACAAAUGCUGAUGCUCCAGAUAUUCAACUAGUCUAUUGAAGGUCUGUUGUAGUGCUUCUUUAUCAAAACAACAGUUUUCAGCUGUGCGAACAUAAUUGCAAAAUAGUUUUCCAAUGAUCAAUUAGCCUUUUAAAAUGAGAAACUUAGCAAACACAACGUGCCAAUGGAACACAGGAGUGAUGGUUGCUGAAAAUGGACCUCUGUACGCCUAUGUAGAUAUUUCAUAGAAAGCCAGCCGUUUCCAGCUACACUAGUCAUUUACAACAUUAACAAUGUCUACUCUGUAUUUCUGAUCAAUUUGAUGUUAUUUUAAUGGACACUUUUUUUUGCUUUUCUUUCAAAAACAAGGAAAUUCUAAGUGACCCCAAACGUUUGAACGGUAGUGUAUGCUCAAAGUAUUAACAUCCCAAAAUACUGUAUCGGUGACUAAAUGUGGUCAAGUUUAUGUUGAAGAUAAUGCAUGUCUGUUGUUUUAUCACAUGAAAAUGCCAUUAGAUAAAGUGUGGGUAUGUAUCAAGCUACACAUUUGAUACAUUUUCACAGUCAUGGAUAAAAUCAGCCAAACCUUUUUCCCAAUUAAGAGUUUACUUGUAUACCCAGUCGAAAAAUCGGAUUAUUCAACACAACAUCUGGGUUCAGGAAACCAAGAUAUAGGGGCAAAUGUUUGCACUUCAAUAGUGUGUGUUAAUGAGAUUUAGAAGCUUAUGGAGGAUUUUGUGUUUUCUAUUUUCAUCAAGCUAGAAUAGAGCGAUGCAGUGCCCGAGGCUGCUGAAGGGCAGUUCUGAAUCCUUGAGUAGCGCCAGGCAGCGAUAUGUGGGUUUAAUGCAAUUCCAACAACCCCAGAAACGUUCCUGCAGAGCUGAGCCAGCACACUUUGCAAAAAACCAUUGUGCCUCUGGGAAAUCAUUUUACUCUAAUUGCGUAUUAUUCUUGGUUGGGAUACAAGACAAUACAAGCCAAUCUCAAGAUCAUACAUCACCUGAUCUACGAGCUGGCAAAGUGCACUUACUUUUGGCCAUUUGAUUGCAAGUUGAAAGUAUUUAUUUCCAUUUGUCUUCCUAAUCAAAGUAUGGGACAAUUGCUAACCUUUCUCCAAACAGAGUUUUCCUUCAAUUCUCUAAUCAAGUCCAACUUCAAAGCCAGUGACUCAGCGUGUUUGAGUGCAGUAGCUUGAGUGCUCUGUCUGAUUGAGGUAAAGACAAUAACGCCAUUGAGACAUCCAUCCAACUGCCGUCCUCACCGACAACAUAUCAAAUCCUAUUGAUCAGGGAGGAAAACACUUACAAAAUAUGUGCCCCAAAUGGCACCCUAUUUCUUAUUUAGUGCACUAGGCUACUUUUGACCAGGGUCCUAUGGGGGAAUAGGAUGCUAAAUAGGGAAUAGGGUGCCACUUGGGACUCGGCCGUGACUUCAGCAGGGCCACUGACACCUCUCAAGGAGAUGAACAACUUUUCUAAAAGAGUCAUUCCAGGGUCACUGAAGCCAUAGCCUGGCCUAGACAGCUAAACACAAGAACCAGGCGCUUGAAAGGCAAUAAUCAGGAAGUCAGCCUUGCAACCAGCAACCAGCAACCAGCCGCACUUCCCGUUCAAUGUAUUUUUAUUAUUAGGAAUCAAAUAACAGUUCAAAAGGCACCCAUCCUGUUCUCUUACAAUUGUAUCCCAGCUUUCCUCCUGGCCUUGGUGCGCAGAGAACAUACUGUUUUAUUGCGACAAUAAGCCAUACUUUGAUAUGGCCCUGAAGGCAUCAACAUAAAUUCCUUUCAUCUCGACUGCUCUGUGAAGCUUGAACAAUGGCAAAUCCAAAGCUGGUGACUUUUCCCAUCUCUUCUCCUUCUGUCGACAAAAUGGCAUAAAAUGCAAAUACAUGCUAGCAUUCUCCGUGGAUGAGCGCAGCAUGGGACUGUACUCUCCUAAAGACACCAACGAUGAAAACACAUUGAAUUUCUUUUGAACAAUGUAGCUACCUCACUCUCUUUGAGUUGUAGCUAAUUCCAGUAAAAGAGGAAACAGUACGUGAAUUAAUGAAUGACUUGACUUGGAAGCCCAUGGUCCUGUAGUCUGAGUUGUGUGGAUUAUCUCCCUUGUUAGAUAAUAGAGUCUUGUAUGCGUCCCAAACAGCACCCAUAGAGCUCUAGUCAAAAAUUGUGCACUACAGAAUGUACAGGAAAUAGUCUGCCAUUUGGGACAGAGACCUGGAUGUGUUCAGACAAAGGAAAGAAGAAUGGGAACAGGAAACUCAUUGAAUCAUCUUGUUAGAAUAUCCCCAUGGCUUACAAUAGGCGCGGUCCCAAAUGCAACCCUAUUCCCUGGUCAAAAGUAGUGCACUGCGUAGGGAUUAGGGUGCCAUUUGGGAUGCACAUUUUUAAGGUUCUGGAGCUAUUGAGAAAGGAGAGUUUUGCAUAAUACAGCAGCAAUAAAACAGAAAACGCUCAAUUCCAGCUCAUCCAAGUGUUGCUCUAUUCUAUUCUUCAAGCUAUAAUGAAGAUAUGUGACUUAGCCCCUGACAUGGCCAGCUUCCUAGGAGAAAGGACUUCCUUUCCAGACUCAAUUACUAUUUCAAUACGUUUCCGCUAUGGAUAUUGAAUAUUGCAAGAUAAGCAGUUCUCGCAAAAUGGCUAUCACAAAGUCUGCUCCGGGGUUUAUGUUAAGGCUUUUUACGCUUCUGUUCAAAGGUGCAUUGGGAAGGUUAUGAAGUACAUUUUUUGGGGGGGGCCAGGGUUACAGGAAUAAAUAAUCCAGUACCUGCCUGUGAAGACGGAUGCUACAUUGUUACAGCCAGGAAUAGUUUCUGCGCUCAGCACUUCCCCAUAGAAGUGAAUGUCAAACUUGUGAAUGUCAAACUUGCAGAGAGAGGGGAUCCCCAACAGAGCAGUGUUAGAGAACUGUUAAACCAACUCAGUGUUAAAGAUGAAAUCGGCAUAAGGUGAAACAGUGCCACUGUUCGCCCUCAGUGCAUUUGUCAUGAUUUUUGUUCUGCUGAUGAAAAGGAGGAGAGGAGCAAUCAGUAUCGUGGGCCAAAAAAUAUUCCAGUACAUAUUCUGUGUUCUAUCGCGUGUGUGUGUGUGUGUGUGGGGGGGGGCGUGUUCAUUGUUUGAAGUAUCUUCUUCGUUGUUGUAAUAUAGCAAACGGACAUGGCCGUUUCACCGAGUACGAUUUCCAGGUUUAAAACAGUUUUCAACCAAUGCAGUGUUAAAACAGUGUUCAACCAAUGCAGUGUUAAAACAGUGUUCAACCAAUGCAGUGUUAAAACAGUGUUCAACCAAUGCAGUGUUAAAACAGUGUUCAACCAAUGCAGUGUUAAAACAGUGUUCAACCAAUGCGGUGUUAAAACAGUGUUCAACCAAUGCAGUGUUAAAACAGUGUUCAACCAAUGCAGUGUUAAAACAGUGUUCAACCAAUGCAGUGUUAAAACAGUGUUCAACCAAUGCAGUGUUAAAACAGUGUUCAACCAAUGCAGUGUUAAAACAGUGUUCAACCAAUGCAGUGUUAAAACAGUGUUCAACCAAUGCGGUGUUAAAACAGUGUUCAACCAAUGCAGUGUUAAAACAGUGUUCAACCAAUGCAGUGUUAAAACAGUGUUCAACCAAUGCAGUGUUAAAACAGUUUUUAGAAGAAUUCACAAGCUUGUAACUGCAAAACUAGGCAGAAAUGCUGAAGAAACGUGAUUCAGAAAAGAGGGAACAAACGGUGUUAUGCUUUGAACUGCUUUUAAUUAAGUCUGUUCCUUUCUGUUUACUUUGAUGAAACAUUGUUUCCUUAUUAGGCUCACUGUACCAGAGAGAGCUGCAUCUCCAUAAAACUAAAGGGAACAUCAUCCCCAUUAACAACUGUUACUAAUUUAAAUACCUAUGGUUUGGUUUUGAAAGAUUCAUACAACACAAGAACAGUACACUGCCCUCUGAUCCCAGAGAUCAUAAUAACCUGGUGUCUCACUCCCAACAUUCCAACAUGCAUUUACUGUCCCCAAGGAGGCUGCCUGUUUGCCUGCCUAUAUACCCUCCUUCUUGCCUAUCUGCCUGUGUGGCUGGCUUCCUGUACAGAUAGUCUAGCAGGGAGCCUGCCUCUACCUGGCUGGCUCUCUGCCUGCCUGCCUGCCUGCCUGCCUCUCUGCCUUCCUAUCUGCCUGCCUGUCUGCCUCUCUACCUGCCUGUCUCUCUGCCUGUCUGCCUUCCUCUCUGCCUGCCUGCCUGUCUGCCUGCCUGCCUCUCUGCCUCUCUGCCUGCAUCUCUACCUGCCUGCCUCUCUGCCUGUCUGCCUUCCUCUCUGCCUGCCUCUCUGCCUGCCUGCCUCUCUGCCUCUCUGCCUGCCUCUCUGCCUGCCUGCAUCUCUGCCUGCCUGCCUGCCUGUCUGCCUACCUGCCUCUCUGCCUGCCUGCCUGCCUGGCUGGUGCGCUCAGCAGUAAGAGGUGAUAUAGGCCUAAUCAUUAUUACUCUAUGAUAACUGAUAAAUAAUCCUCAUAUGAACGGUCACUAGGGGAAAUUGGCUUUUGUUAUUUCAUGUGUAACCGCAUUGCACCUGCAGAAGCCAGCACUGAAUCAUCUGCAGGGAGUCUGCUAGGCUGUAUUGUCAUUAACAAACUACUGGAAUUGUGUUUGUGUGUGUAUAUGGAUGGGUUAUUUUGGGUCCUAGAGUAUGUUCACUUUUUUCACGUACUGUAGUUCCAUCUUGUUUUAUUUUUUUUAUAAUAAUAAUAAUGACUGUUUUUUGAAUACAGGCAGAGCAUUGAAAGGUCUCUGUACUUUGUUUUCUCUCUCUCAGUGUGAGAAGCCAGUUCCAAGUUCCAGUUGUCUUUCCAGACUUAGUUGUUGUGACAAACUUUUGACCAGAUAAUUCAGUUCCCUGGGUGUAAUUAUUCAGUUGACUGCAGGCACAUUUAGAUUUAAUUAAAAGUGAGAGCCCAAUAUCACUUGUCAUUGCACCUGACACCCUGACGUUAACUUUGCAGCUUUGCAUUCAUUAGAGCAGGCAGUCAUUUUGUCACAUCUCCUUUGGAAUUGCCUAAAGUUGUAUCUUAUUUACAGCAUAAUUCUAGCAGAAUAUAGUGUACAUCCUUAGGCAUGAAAGUAACAAAACGGAGGUGUGUGUGUGUGUGUGUUUGUGCGUGUUGGCAGAGGCCUUCCAGGUUCCCCACAGUCAUAACACGGUAGGAGCGUGGCUGUGUCUUUGCACUGCCAAUUAUCACUCCGGAAAUUGACUAAACAGACUAACUACAUCACACACACAUUGUGUGGGGUGAUUGAUUUGAAAAAUCUGCUUUAAAAAGCUUGGUCUCUAAUUAGAUGAAACAGGAGAAAAUAGAUCUCACAAAACAUCUUGCUCACCUUGCAUGGCCUCUGCCAGGUUUUGCUUGAAAGGCAGAGGCAUCUUCAGCAUCUUUUCGACACUCUCUGAAUAGGCCAGAUACAUUUCCACUGUCAUUUCUGAUGUGGACUGACUCAGUGUUACCGGAUUGUCGAAAUCAAAUUGAAUUCUUUAGGACAGAUAGCUACAACUCUUCAGGGAAAUAUCCAGAUACAAUAUACAGUCUGUACAACAGCAACAAUUACAAAUGAAUAAAGAUUGUGCUAAAGUAACUAUUCCUAAUAUCGAGUACACCCCCAGUGCUUAAUGGUAAACACAGCACCUUGAUGUGUGAUCUGCCUUUUUAUGAACAAAGUUUUCCUGUGGAGAAAUAGAGUUGUUCCCUCUAACUGGACCAAUAGCCUUGUUUGGUAUGCAGGUCCACCUGCAGGUCCACCGGAGGCCCCAAAACAUAACAAUUCAUUGGCUCUAGUUCUCCUUUGUGUCAGAUCCCACAUUUCAACUCAAUUAAACCCCAUUUUAUUUCAGAGCUGCAUUUGCAGCAUGAGUGUGACUAAUUGAAAAGUGACCGGAAAGGAAAAGCAAUUUUCUCACCUAGAAAUGACUCGCCUACUCGUCACACAAUGCAUUUUUCUUUCUCAAAUCGAACAAAUGGUUCAAGCCUCUGCUCAAACUUAGGAACAGUGAGCCUCAUUAUCACGUUGGGAAGGCGGAUGAAUGAUGCCUAUUCAUCCACCAUAACAUAUCAUAGGGCUUUCUCUCUUUGUGCUCGUUCGCCAUGAGAUGAGGAAAUAAGAAUGGCAUCAUUUCACACAGACAGGGCAAAUACAGUUAAUUGUUCCAAGUGUUAUUGUUAAAGCCUCUUAAUCCUAGGAUUUAAGAGUGAUUAACGUUUGUUUUCAUAAGAUUGAACAAUGGACUAAAAGCUGUCGUGUUUAAUCACAAGACAUUCUUAUAAACUAGGGGAAUUUGUUAUUUUAUUUCAUGGUUAGCACCAAUCAGUGCUAAAAGACUUGCACUCUCCUGGAUAAGCUCUUGAAAGUAAGUCCAUUCAUACAAAUAAAUCUAAUUUGACUUUGCCUUUGAGUCAUUCCAUUGGACCACCUCCACUACAGUAUUAGCAGGGAGUUUUUAUAACUAACCCAAGAUGGACAAGAGCCUGUCGUUUCCAACGGGAGCAAAUGAAUCACAGCGUGCAGAACAAGAAGGUGGGCAGAGUCAAACACCAGCUACUGAGAUCUUUUUGGCGUUAUUUGCAUAUUUCAGUUAGGGAACGCCUACUCUGGGAGGUGCGCGUGUGCACUCUAAGCAACGCACUUUUUUUUGAAACUUUGGCAAAACGCAGUCCACUCUGUUUGUUACAGCUUUUAGUUUGGAAGCAGAAACCUGUAUGGAGAUCAACAUGUGUCAUCGAUGAGAAAAUCAACAGAAUACCGGACAAAAUCCAUCUCGCUUAAUGUUCUCCCAUUGCCGGCCACUGGGCUUCCAUACUAGUGAGUGGAAAUGCCAACCGGAUGCUUCGCGUCUAUGCAUCCAGUUUAAUAUAUGGCUCAUCGUUCUGUCUGUGGUAUUAGAUUUUCUGUGAUAGUGAGACACUUCCCUCUUGUGGUGAAAAGGAUCCUGUAGUUGUAUGGAAGUCAAAUGUUCUGGCUGCGCCACCCAGUGGUAAAUUCUAAGUACUGCAAUGAGAAUACUGGAACACUGGUGGUCAACAUUCAUUCAAAACAACCACUCCUUCUGAAAGUAACGUCUUCGCCAGAGGCGUGACAGUUGGUGAUAGAGUGGGGAAAUUACUAGUGAGAGGAAGCAUCCUUUUCAGUCAACCUCAAAGUUCCAUUUACAUUUUGAUCUGCAGAGGUUGGGUUUAGAGUUGAGGUUUAGGGAACGUGUUAAGGUUAGGAUUCGAGUGGUUAACAUAGACUCUGGCCAUGGGAACUUAUUUGUACAUUUGAACUGUCCUGUUAUGACCCGUAUGACUGUGUUGAAUAUCACUCCCCUGACCACAUUUUAUAAAGUGCCUGGGGAAGCGAGGGCCUCCACCGUGGGAGAUUUAUGAUAUGGAUUUAUUUUAUUAUCAAGUAAUAAAAGUGGUCCGAACAUCUGUUUUAUUACUUUUAUUUUAAAAAGGGGUGCCAAUACUGAUGGAGAAUUACGAGGUGAUUUACUGGACAUCAGGACUUACAGCUGACUUGUAAGUCCUGACGUACUUCAAAAUUCCAAGUAUGGCAGUACCAAGUACCUAAAGUAAGGAAUGCAUAAUGGAUACCAUGCCAAACAAGCAAAAGCAAAAGGCUAUUGUAGGCUCAGAAAAAAAGUGUUGGCAGCAAAAUACAAAGGACGCUUUAUGUUGCGCUUUACCAUCGAGCAAAACCCAGCAGACCAGUCUAGACCAAUUGAAAUCUUACCCUGAAUUCAGAGAGAUACUCUGCCAAUAACAGAGUGGGCUAGACUGGCAGAGACGGAGUGUUUGUUUCUAGAAAUAAGGGUGUUUUGAAUGGGCACAUUCUGCUAGUAUUGAUAAACAGGUCUGUUGGCAGGCGGCUGAUGUGGGCAGGGGUUUGAGUUAGCCCAGGCCCAGACGCUCAGACCGUUCUGUUGGAGGGACGCCAGUGAAAUUCUCUGGCCUGCUAGAGGCAAACGAUUAUGUGAAGAAGACCGCCAAGAGCAUAAUUUCCCGUUAGAAUGGGAAUUAGAGAACCACACACUUAGUUCAAUCCCAUCAGUCACUAGGAAAAUGGAUGGAUGAAGGAAGGAUGGACGAAGUGGGGUGCACAUGCAGAUGUGCUGAGUCACAGGCCAUUGUGACAUCCCUUCCUCUGUCUCAAAACAACAAAGAUCCAUCUAUGUGGUCCAAGCCAGGCCAAGGGAUAAUUUCAGAGAAGAGGACAGAGGGGGUAACAUCUAUGGGAUGGAAGAGUGAGGACAGGGUGGAGGACUGGAUGUGUUGGGAUGAUGUCUGGACCUACUGUAAUAAGACAGUUAUUGUUAACACAUUACACACACACACCAAUGGAGGCUCCUCAGACGAGGAAGGGAAGGACCAUCCUUCUCAGUGAAUUUCAGAAAAAUAGAAAUAGUCAAACAAUAAUAAAAUGCAAUCCUUUUUAGAUAAAACUACAGUAAAUAUAUUCAAAUGUCACCAAAUACCUAAUUAAAACACACUGUUUUGCAAUGGUCUACAGUAAUCUCAACAGCACCCUCUAGGGUAGCACCAUGGUAUAGCCGGAGGACAUCUAUUUUCCAUCCUCCUCUGGCUACAUUGACUUCAAUACAAAACCUAGGAGGCACGUGCUCCUCACCCCCUUUCAUAGAACUUCCCGAAGGACGUCCUCCAACCAAUCAAAGCUUUUGCAGUAUGAACUAACAUGUUGUCCACUCAACCAAAGGAUCAGAGAACUAACCUACACAUGUGUGAUUUAGAAGCUUGGUGAGUUGGUGACAUUGUUGGAUAGAUUGAAAGAUUGAGACAGUGAAUGGUGAUAGAUGAUCAUUUUUAGGUUACUAUUACAUUCAAAUGAAUUUCUUCAAACUACAGGAGAUGUAGGAGGUAGAUUAAUCCUUGCUUGGACUAACACAUUCUUAGCUCUUCUGUCUAACUGUGUUGUGUUAUUGUUUUUUGUCUUCCCUGUUAAAUCCUGUCGCACCCUCAGUGGAAGAGUUGAGCUCUCCAACAGCAUCCAUCUGUGAUGAGCAUGUCCUGCACUGAAACCUAGCCACUGAACACCUCUACCCCUGUCCUGCACUGAAACCUAGCCACUGAACACUUCUACCCCUGUCCUACACUGAAACCUAGCCACUGAACACUUCUACCCCUGUCCUGCACUGAAACCUAGCCACUGAACACCUCUACCCCUGACCUGCACUGAAACCUAGCCACUGAAAACCUCUACCCUGUCCUGCACUGAAGCCUCUGAACACCUCAAACCCUGAACUGCACUGAAGUCAAGCCUCUCGAACACCUCAGCUCAUGUCUUAUAACCUCAUUCAGUAACUGAUGUGAUCCCUUCCCAACACUGUGUAAGUAUCAGCAUUCAACAUCAACUUUCAUUCCCAUUCCCC